rnacentral:ncRNA from 1 species
UAAUAGCACUAGGGGUGUUUUAAACUGAGAUGAGUUCUACUCAAACCCUUUGAACCUGAUCUAGCUAAAACUAGCGGAGGAAAGUGUGAAUGAUUUCGU